UUUCCAUCCAGAUAAGAAUGGAUAAAUUAUUAUUAGAAUACUUACAGGAUAAAAGAUAAUGAAAAAACAAAUAAUCAGGUAUAAGAGUAAAGAAUCUGACACAUUUGCUGUAAGCGAGAAAAAUAUUCAUGCAGACGAUAAGCAGUACAUACACACACUGUAAAAAUCACCAGACGGCAGGUUGGUUCAGCUUUGGCUGCAUGCAGCUGUAAUUCAGCUAUCGAGAGUUUGGCGUAUAUAGGUUAAUGUUAGAAAUUGCAGUGUGGUCAACUACAGUUUGACGUCAUUCAAGUUUGAAGCGCAAGGACCCCGAUCUUUGCGAAAGCUCGCGCAAGUUUUCUGCGACAGAAGUGCGUGAGAAAUAGAUCGAGGCUGUUUCAAGGAAAGGCAAGACAAGAGAAGGCCAAAGAAAGUGGUGACCGAGGGCAAGAACAGGUGAAAUGAAGGACUUUUCCUCCUCCUAUGCUCCAGUUUUCUCGGCAGUAGUUGGCGUCUUCUCGAUGUCGUACGUGUCGCCAGUACAGCAAGACAAGAGAAGGCUAGAAUGAGUGGUGACCGAGCGCCAGAACAGGUGAAAUGAAGGACUGUUCCUCCUCCUAUGCUCCAGUUUGCUCGGCAAUACUUGGCGUCUUCUCCAGGUCGUACGUGUUGCCAGUACGCCUGAAUGCUGGGUUUCAUCAUGGACCUCCACGGACUGCAGCUGUCGCCUCGCAACGUGGACGUCCGUAAUGAGAGUGGAGGACGACGCUCUCUGACAAAUAGUGCUGCGCGCCAAAUCGAGUAAAAAUCCGGAAAGAAGAGCAGAAGCCACGGCCCUCACAAUCGCAGGUCGGUCGCAGCAUGACAUCGUGAGAGAGGAACCAAGGUCCAGCGCCCAAGCAAGCCGCACGGCCUUGUACCAUAGGUUUUCUCCAUAAUCGGGUGUCUUCAGGAUUGAGUUAUAA